UCGGACGUGGUGCAACGCAGCAUGGCCUCUACUUUUGAACAGUGCUCCCACAUGGAGGAGGAAGAGGCAGACUCGGGUUCGAUUCCCGACGUUCGAA